GUGCUCGCCUCGGCGGCGCGUAGGCUAAAAUUGUGAAUGAUACACAGGAGAUAAGUAUAGCCCCUGCACAAGAAGAACACAAAUUCGUGAAGUGUUCCAUAUUAAA
ensembl:snRNA U6 U6 spliceosomal RNA